CGGUAACAUCGUUCUGUCCUGGGUGGUUGUAGACGUUUAACAUGAGUUUCCUUAGCCAUCGGUUUUUCCUCCAGAGCGUUGUAUUCAAUUUCUUCUCGAUUCUUCUCGUAAUUGGUCGCGUUGUCAAGUGUUGACGAAAAAACCAUUUAUUACGCGACUUGACUGCAGUUUGCGCUAAAGACUUCUGUUGAUUUUCGUCACGUCGUUGGUCAAGUUAUAAUGAACCCCGGUCUUCUGCAAGGAUUUGUUUGGAAACGAAAUUUGAUUUAAAGUUCCUGUUCUACUGGUAAAGCAUCAUUUGAUAAGCUGCUCUUUAGCAACCGGUCGAGUGAUCAGUCCCUUUUUGCAAACUUAGUUCCCCUGAGGUGCUGAUGGAUUAAGGCGGCUGAGGGGACGUCUUUUAGUCACUGGUUAUCGCAAGGUGUACCAAAUUGAAGAUGAGCAAAUAAGCACAUCGUGUGGGGGCCAGAGGUAGAGUAACAUUCACGGCGGAGGAAGAGGAUCGAGUUCUAAUAUCUUAGCUGCUGGCCUCCUAGCUGAAGGGUGGCCUUUCGUUUAAAGGAUGGAACCUUGAAGUGAAGAAAGGUCAAGAGCCAUCAUCUUGGAACUAUCGGGACACUUUCAGGCCUUAGACUUGGUUUUAUACUUAACAUUAAGAACCUAGUAUUCCCUUCGAUAAGGACAGUCUGUAAACUGCUGUUGUAAUAAAGAAAUUUAAU